GCACGUAUUCACAACGCGCACACAUCGCACAUGCCGCGAAUCGACGGAAUAUCGCGCGCGCCGUCGUCGUCAACUACACCGUCGUCGCCGUUUUCGUGUUUUUUUUUUUUUUUAUUUUUUUAUUGUUUGUUUUAUUCCGCUAGUCGUUUCUACAGUCUCGUUGCUGUAAUAAUUUAUUCUCCUACCGAAUAAUCGUGACCGUUCGUCAAGUCCGUGCGUUUUUCGCCGCUUUCGGGUUUUCGUCGUAUCGGAAAAAAACGAAAAUUACCGCGGGGUUCUUUUUCUUUCUCUCUUUCGAUCGGCCGUCGGUUUUCCUCUCCCCGCGAAAACGCAUCCCGGUUUUUGCCCGAGUGCGUCCGUCUAUAACCGCCAUGACUCGUUUGUAGUUUUAGAAAACGAAAUAUGAAGGUAAGCCCCGCGGCCGCUGCAGCUGCGUUUCCGUCACCCUCGUCGUUACGGACGAGAAAAAAAAAAUUAUACAAAAAAAAAUUUAUCGACGAAUAUUGUAUUUUUAUUGAAUUUCGUCUCGUAUAUUUUUGAGCUUUUUUUUUUUUUUUGGCACGUGAACCGCACCAAUAUACGCGCACACGGUCGGGAAGCGUUAGGUAUACUGUGCAGUACGUUUGUUUUUUUUUUCACGAAUAAUAUAUAUAUAUAUAUAUACAUAUAAAAAAAAAAAAAAAAACUCUCCGGUCAUACGGGCCGAGAAUAUCGGCUGACCUUCGUCAUCCUCGUGGUGCGCAGGGGGAAAAGACGCGUUUUCUAUUGUCUGGUAGACUGACGAAAAAAAAAAAUGAAAAAAAAAGAAGAGUACAGGUGGACAUUCCUAUAUACCGUCAUUUUUUUUUCCGUCGUUUUUAUUGUCUCUUACAAACGACUAUGUCGCCGACGCGUCGUUCCCAUUUUCGCAGCGAAACGAACGAUAUUCGUUUUUUUCUCCUAUAUUGCUGCGCGUACAUUUUUUCAUAUUAUUGCGUUUCGUAUUGUCCGAGUUGAUUUGUAUAUUCGUCGUAUUUUCAGAAAAAAAAAAUAUGUAUAUAUCCCCGCAUUUUAAAGUCAAUUUACGCCAAAAUGCGGUUUUUUUCCUUUCAAAUUUUCUUUUCACGAUUACUGUAUCGACUCUCGACGCUAUUCGUCGUAUAAUAAGGCAUAUCGAAGCACGUGCGACGCCGAAGAUAUUAUAGUAUUUUUAUUAUUUAUUUAGUAGUUUUACUUUAAAGAUUUUUUUUUUUAUUUUAAUAAAUUCCAAGCGAAAAAUCAAUGAGGAAAUGAUAAAUUAUCGGUUCGGUCGAUAUGCUUGAAAAAAAAAAAAUCACGUUUCUAUCGGUGUUAUUUUUUCUUGUACCGUAAAUUAACGCGUUUUUACAUUUUGUUUUGAUCACGUAAAAACAACAAUAAAAACGUCUUGAAAUUAUUAUUUCGAUCGGUUAUGAUUAUAAAUGUAUCCGUGUUAUAUUAUGUAUAUUUACUUUUUUUUUCCCCCGGCGUACAAUCAAAAUAAACCCGCAGACAUAUUAUGUAGGUAUUUUCGUAUAUAAACGUUUCCUCCCCUCCGUCUCGUUCUACUAUGUCGCACCGAUACCAAUUCAAAAUUGUUUUUGCCGAGUUGUUCGGGUCCGAAAAGACCGCCAAAGGGAAAUCGUGUAUAUAUAAAAAAAAAGAAAAAAAAAGCCGUCUAUUAUUACACAUUUAUACUGCAGUCGAUAUUUUUACACGGUUUUCGAAUAUUUUGACAAUGCGCGCCGACCGUUUCGCUACACGCCGCAAGGUUUUGUGUUAUUUUAGAAAAUUAAUCUCUCACCCCCGGGUAUCGUUUUUUUUUUUUUUUUUUUUUAAAAAAAAAAAAAAAAAAAAACUAUACCGUGGAAGAAGAUAGGAAAAAAAACGCAACACGUUGCCGGAGCGGUUUUUUUUAAUUGUAAUUUAAACGUCAAUCGAAGUCUCUCGCGAGCGCGCAAACAAGACGCACGAAAAUCCGCAAAGUUUCGGCCAUAUAUAUACGCGUACCUAUGUAUAGGUUUUUGUUUUUGUUUUUUUUUUUUCCCCCGGCUUAUUUAAACCGACAACGAUUUAUGGGCGAACGGUAUUAAAUCUAUACGGACGCCUGCCUAUAUACCUGCCUGUCCGCCCGCCCCUCCGUACCGCGGGGCGUAUAUAUAUAUGUUCGUGUAUUGACACGCUUUGUUUUAUUUUUAAUUCCGAAUCGGCGGGGGGGCCGAGCCGUUAUACGGUACGUAUAAUAUCGGCGGCCGUCCAUCACGUCACGCGUCCGUCCGGUUCCUAAUGAAUUUUCGCGGUUUAUACCGCGACCGCGGUAACCGCUUCCGGGACGACUUCGCGGGGCCCGCAUACCCGCGCCGGCGCGUCCCUCGGGGACGUCUUUAACAGCUCUCGCGAACCCGCGUACAGUGUACCCGCUCCGCAUCACGUCCCCGUCGCUAUCCCUCGCCUCGUUUUGACGGUAAACCCUAUUACACCGGCCCGCACUUACGGCCCCCCGACUUUAUUGUAUUAUAACGUACACCUACAUGCAGUAUAUACAUUAUUUUUCAUUUUGAUUUUUUUCUUUUUUGUUCGCAGGUAAGAAUAUGUCCGCUGUUAAUAGUUCAAUAGGUAAA